rnacentral:lncRNA from 1 species
UGUGACCGAAAUUGUAAAUAUCUUUUUUUAAUGGGUUUGAUCGCUUUAAGAGGUCUGCUAGAGAUGCUCUUAGCACCCAAUUCCAAAUCCAAGUCUAAGCGAGUUAGCUCCGUAUCAACUGAUUUUUUUUCUUGCCACAACUUCAAUCCUUGUGAUUUCAUAAUGAAACUUUGCAACCAAUCAAACAUUCCUUAAAGUUUGCGAAAAAAGUCAGAUUUUUUGAAAUUGUUUUUUUCGAUUUUACUGUUCACGACCAGGAGCAUUUGAGUUGAGCUGAGAAAGGUACUUUGGCUACAGAACCACUUUUACAACGACAAAGAGAAAAAGGGCGUGCCAAGACGCAACCCUCCUUCUAGUACAGUCUUUUCUUUAUGGCGAGUCCAAUCUCCAAUCUUCUGUUGAUGUUGGAUGAGGCUUCAGUGUUCACCGUUACACCACAACCCAAAGCAAGAGACAUGGUAAGAUCACGUAAUAGGCAACGGCGGCGACGGGAGUCGGUGGCACGAGCACUGAAGAAGCAGACUCGUUGUAGUAGGGAAGGUAGCUGAUCGGAGGCGCCUGGUAGUACGGCUGCUGAGGCGUGUUUUGGCCGCCGCAGCAAACGGGUGUCGCCGGCGGGCACGGUCCCUGCAUGCCCGGUGAGGGCGGUGUCGUUGAUGGCGGCGAUGGAGGAGGGCCACCGUAGAUCGGCAGCGGCUGCGGUGGUGGCUGGCAUCCGGCGCCGUUGCACAGGCCUUGAGCCGUGGUGGCGUUGCCGCCUGCAGCGUCGCCGGCCUCAGAUGCUGCUGCUGCCGCAGCUGCACUGGCAAGCAGCAAGGCAUGCAGCAAGAGAAGCGUCAUAGUAUUGGAUGUUGCCGUAGUUGUUGUUGGAUAUUCUUGGCGUUCGUGUGUUGCGGUGGAGGGUUAUAUAAUCGGUCUGGGUGUAGAGGUAGGGCUGCAUGCACCGUGACACAUGGAGAGCCAUGUGUUGGAGGCUGAGAUGCCCUACGCUAGCUUAUGGAGACGGAGACACUGGCCGCUCUGUCACUUCUCAUGGUCAGCUUCGAGAUAACUGGAUAUACACGAGUGCGUACGUAGCAGCAGUUUCCAGCAAGAUUCAAGGGGAAAAAACAAAAGUAGUUUCCAGUUCUAUUAUAUCGAUUCAACGUGUGUGCAUACUGGGGCUACACCACGACUAUCUUCACCUACGUCAGCCACUUUGUCAUAGUGCAAACGCAGUUUCGGUGCCUACCAUACUUUUCCAACGAAAAACAUGACAUUCUCCCCACAAGAAACACGAGUUUAGCACAUCCAACACAAAAAACGCGAUGUGUUGGAUGUGCUAAAGUCGUGUUUUUGUGCUAAACACAAAAAACAGCUUUAGAAAUAACUGCUCACAACCAACACUGUCCUAAGAUCUUCGGUUCAGUACUUCAGUUACAACACAAGAGCAUAUGAGCAGUUAUUUGUAAAAGUUGAUUUUCUAAUACUCCCGAAAAUCACAUGAUUGAUCAUCCUGAGCUUUCCAGAUAAUUGAAGAAUAAAUCACAUUACCUGCAAACAAAAGAAUAAACCAGAUGAUGUUUAUUUAUUGCCAAAAAUCAGCAACGCGCAAUCUGACAACAAGUACAUAAGCCGGACCAGACCGAUAAAAAAACGACUGCCCCAGGGAACCAACAGGAGGGGGAAAAGCGAAGCACAACCUGCAGCUUUCCUGAGUACCCCAAAUAUUGCGGGCAGAGAGUUAACUGAUGCCUCAAGAAUUCUCAGUGUUUAGCCUCCUACUUGGUGAAACACGAAAUCUUGCAUCAUACUAUGAUCUGGUGAAAUCGUACGGUCAAGCAAUAAGUUUAACAGCUUCCGUUCCAGAGACAAGUGUAUCUUCUACAAAUGGUAUGGUCUUCCAUACUUUUAAUCCUACUGGCGCUGGACUAUUUUCAGGACCUGAAACAUAUGAACAUAUAUACAUCAAUAGUAUAUAAUGGAGUGACCGAAAGAAUGAAGAUAACCAAACUCUUUGUCCCAAGGCUGGCAAUACAAACCUUGACAUCUCGUGUCAUCCUCCAUACAAACUGACAUGUAAUGAGAACUAUUUAGCUUCGCGAGUGCAAAUAGCCAAUUCUCAGACAGACGAUCACACCCAGAGUUGGAAUCAUUACAUACUUUCGAUGCCUGGAAAAUCCGACGAGAGUCAAGGCAGACCGAUAAAGAUGAUUUACUGUUAGGUUGCAAUAACAUAAUGCACCUGACUUCGCUGAUGUCCUAUGAAGAGUAAAAAACAGACACUUAUCCCUAACGAAAAAAAUUAGGACAGUUACCAUGCAAAAGCCAAAAAACAGGGAAGGCAUCUACUUUUGAUUCCGUGUGCACGCAAUGGUUUGAGGGCAUGUACAAUGGUGGCAUAUGGAUACAGAUGCCCCAUGACAAAAAGUAGAUUGAGGCAUCUACAUUGAUUUUUUCUCCCCAAUGCAAGCUACCACUAGUGGGCCUCAUCAAAGAAUAGAAAAUAAAUACUUCCACUACACAUGCAUCUCUACUCUCCACUUCAACCUUUUUAGCUUUAUGCACCGGACCAUACUUUUCUCCCCAAGCACCCGCCUCCUACAGAGGAUCCCGCUGCUCCAUCCGAACCUAUUUUCCUGACAUCCGAUCCUGCGUGGCCUACGGGGCAUCACCCUGGGCUAUGCAUUGGCCAUGCCUGGCGUGAUUGCACAGCACAUGGUGGACCACACACAUGCUGUUUUCUACUUAUUUUGCUUUCUUAUUUGGAGGUUUGCCCCAUUGUUUUUCUAUUUGAUGAAAUACUGAUUUCUGCUAUAAAAUAUGUGACACAUGUGGAAUUUGAGAAUUUCUUGUGAUUCUUGCAUGAAACCCUGAAAUACAUGCGAAACACAUGCCAAAAAAGAUAAAUAAAAGGUCAAACAACUAUGAGUCUCCUCAAAUUUAUUGGCUUGGUUCAGAUCCAUGUAAAAUGCAUUGAAUUGUUUAGUGAAACUUGGUUUGGAUUACGGCAAAACCUGAUUAACCUGCUGCAAAACAUGUCUUAAAAUUUGCAAAACAUACGCUAUACAAUAUUUUGGAACAUGCUGGAGCCCGUGCAGUGAGAAAAAAAAAGGCUGAAAUGAUAUGUGAGAGUGAGUGGUAGGGAAUAUUACAUCUCAACCAUUGACAGAGAUGACCAAAAUAGAAGGUGAGAUGCUAGACCGGUUGUUUUAAGAACCAGCAGUACACCAUCCCAUAGCAGCAUUUUUUCGUAUAAAAUUCACUUAACAUGACAUCUGACCGUUGGGCCAAGACGUAGGUGUCACAUGUCAGAAGGUGUUACAAAUGUCACGUGAAAUUUUGUUCACACACAUAGUUCUAAAGCUCCCUGAUUAUAUGUCAAAAAAAGAAAGAAGGGGAAAGGUAAAAGCUACAUACCUUAGAAACCCGAAUUCCCUUGCUUGUUUUCAAGUUGAUUGUAAACUCAUUGAGUGGAGCACCUGACAAACCCAAUCCGAGAGCCUUUACAUAUGCUUCCUAUAAAUUUAGAAAUCAAUGAUCCUUCAAUGUGCAACAUCGUAUCAGUAGCCAUUAAUUCAAAUAGGCAAUAUUUGGUGCAUAACAUUCCUUUUUCCGCAAAUGGACCAUUCAUAAGAUGCCCACCUACGUGUACUUCAAUUUGAUUUAUUCAAUAUAGUUAUAUGUGGAGUUAGCAAGUUAACAUCUAAAAAGAGCUUGCACUAGAUACAUAUACCAAACCUGCAUUUCUAUAGCAAAGAACAACGAAGUCAGCUACAAUGUUUUAAUCUUUGAAGUGGUAUCUUACACUACAUGAUAGGGCAGUUGAUAUGUUCUAGCCUUGUAGUAAAAAAUAACAUAACUUCGCAAUGUUCUAAGGAAUGUAUAGCACAAUGAAGUGGUUGCAUAGGAAAGGGCUAUAAAGUAGAGGGCCAAAGAGAGACUCAUUAACUUUAAGAGUCCAUAGUUUGAAGAAUUCCUUUUCCUGAGCAUACGAAUCAGAAAUCUCAGUGAGAUAAUGAGCUUCUGAAGGGGUGAAAAAACAACGAGCAAGAGAUAAAAUACUCUUGGUUGUCUUCCGCUUCUUCUCUUCAAUAUCAAUGCCAAUCUAAAAAGGUACAUAAAACAGCAAUAUCAACUGAAUAACUUCCACAGCAACAGAAACAUGGUCAUGUCUUUCUCACUUUUGGCUGUCACAGGGACAAAGAACAUACAUUAGCAUCCAUGGCAAUGCCACAGGCAAUCAAAGAAGUAGUGUGUGAAAUGUUGAAAUGCAAGGGCAGCUCCACAAUAUCAUCGGAUGGCCACAAUAUCUGAUCAGACAUGGAAAGCAGCCAAAGGCAGUUGUUACAAGGCUUUAAAUUGCAGAAAAAAAGAACCACUGAAGACUAACCUCUUACCUCAGGUUUGUGAAAAUUGUUGUACAUAAACUCAAACGACCUCGGAUCAAUUUUACAAUCUGUAUCCAGUCUAAUUUAAACAGAUUAGCAAUAAGCAAUGACAUAUCAGUAUUCCUGUUAUGCUAUCAGUAACAACAGACAAAACAAGCAUAUAUUCUAAUUGUUGACAAGAUAAUAGAGCAGCGUGACAAGCUUCCAUAUUAUUACAAGUCAAAGGGCAGAUGGUUUCAUUCUCCAUUUUUAUGACUCUUUAUGGGAACAGCACAUGCAUCAGAAAGUGAUUGGGCACCUAAUAGGUCCUAAAGUGUUACUUGAGAAAGACAAAGUCAUUUGUGGAUGCAAGAGGUCAAAAGUUACAUUGAUCUUGAACCAUAUGUUCUCCAUAUAUUAAGACAGAUGAAUGCUUGAAUGGUCUCCUACAAUGCAAAGGCAGAGCUCCUGCUGUUCACGUACAAAAAUGCACGAAUGGAAGCCAUGCACCUAUAUACAGGAAAAAGUUCAAAGGGAAUAAAUCAUGGACUCAGUGCAUCCAAAGCAAUAAAUUGCAUAAAAUAGCUGAAUCCCCGGAAAUAUUAUACUAUUUUUGUUACAACAAUACCGAGUUUUCCCCAUAAUUACAGUAUAUAGACUAAGAAAAGUGUUUUUUUAUAGAGUCACCACCCCCAAGGAGAGGAUCCUAUGUGUUGUUAAUUCUAAGCAAUAUACACUUGUGAAUCAAACAUCAGCAGACAAUUUUCCUAAUUCCUAUUAACAAGAAUAUAGACAACACUGUCUCUUGAAUGAUAGAAACAGGAAUGAAACUUCAAUUAAAUGUGACAGACAAUGCAAAAGGAAGUUGGUGGUUACAUACAUCUUGAGAGGGUGGUGCGCUUCAAUGCACAGGACAACAUAGCAUGCUUCCGCAACGUUGUUUCCUUUAUAGAGUCAGCAUACUCCUUUUCAGCAGGAGAAAGGAGUUGUUUAUACAUCUCUAGUUGGGACUGAUCAUUCAGCUCACCCGGGCAAAGAUACCAAACAUGCACCUCUCUACAAAAGAGAUAAACACAUAAACUUAUGUCCUCGAAAUAUUCUAAUGCACCAAACAACUAUUACAAGAAAGAAAAAUCAACCAUUUGUAAAUGUACAGGAGUAUAGUCUCAUUACGAUACAGGCUUUGCCCAACCCCAGAGAACACUUAACCACCAAAAUCUAUCAUGUAUCCACAUGUCAAUAUGGGGAGACGCACAUAUCAGGGAGUAUAGUGGAACUAACAUUUUCAAAUAUAAAUAAAGGAAUGCACUAGAGCGCGACGGCCGAAAACGCUGCCAAAUCAUGGAUGAUGUCAUGACGACGGAAGAAUCAAUUGCAGCCACGUGUAAUCGACGGAGCAGGCUGUGUCACACUUUGGGACAGUGCAGUGAACGUUUGUGCCAUAUGAUUAAUUCCAGUAAAAUAAAACACAAUAGUCCCUGAUAAUUCUUGGGCCAGAAGUCCUUCAGUGAAUGCCCAGCACCAGCCCAAAUGAAAUCCACAAAACUACAGCCCUAGCAAACAAUCGCUGUACCUCAAAACAAAAAGCAAACAAUCGUCUCAUUCUGCAACAGUUGUUUAAAUUUUUAUUUGUUCAAUGUUCAUGUACUAUCCUACAAUCAUGCCCAUAAGAAAUUAAGGACUGUACAUAUUUGACAUUUAAUGAACAAGACAGGCUAUGGAUUAGCAGCUAAGAAGCUAGCAACAUCUUAGCUUCCUCUAACAUUGACUAGUAUAAUGCACUCCCUAUAUUCAAAUACACGUAAUUGAAAAUGCCAUAUCACCAAACACUGAUACACAUAUGUUGGGCAUCAAUAUAUCAUGUAUCUAGCUUCUAGCAACAUAGCCGUACUCAGGCUCCGCAAAACUAUAACCUGCAACAUACAGAUAAACGAAGGCAGAGAAGGGGGUGCACCUUCUGGACUGCAGAGGCGGCGCGGGCGGGAGGGGCGCAAAGAGGCGCCUGCCGGGAAUCCCAACGUCCUCGGAGGAGGCGGGGGCGGUGGUAGAGGCAUCGCGCGGCAGCGGGGGAGGUGGCGGUGCAUGCUGCUUGGCAUGUGCCGCCCAGUUUGGCUUGUAGCGGGGGCGUCGGCGGGUUGAUGGCUCGACGGCAGUGUAGAUUAUGGACAGGGGGUGUCGGAGAGAAGCGGCUCGGCGGUGGCACAGCUCCAGAGGCAGACCGCAAGGAGCAAGGCGGCGGCAGUGUCUCCAUUGAAGGCCCUCGGUCAGAUUUUAUUUUCUCUUAAUGGCCCUCGGUCAUAAUAUUAGGGUGCGUGGGAAUUCACAAUGAGCAAAACAGGUUUGACAUCACAAUGAGUAAACCAGGUUAGUAGACUAGUAGCAAUCCGAUGUAAUUCAUAUACAAAUACUUAUUUCAAAAGAACCCCGCAUUAUAUCGGUAAUUGUGCAACUCCCCUGACAACUAGGAUGGUUUAGGUUUUCCGUCACCGUAUCCAACCGUGCUCUCCUCCCCGUCGCCGUUGCUGACGGCCGCCGACACGCAUUGUCGACGGGUACCCCUCCACCUUUGACUCCGGGUGAAAAAUCUUGGUCUGGUCUUCUAGACCGAGCACGAUGGCGUGUUGUUGUCAUUUCCUUCUUGGAGAUAUAGUUCUGAGAGGUCUGGUCUAUAUGGAGUCGCUNNNNNNNNNNNNNNNNNNNNNNNNNNNNNNNNNNNNNNNNNNNNNNNNNNNNNNNNNNNNNNNNNNNNNNNNNNNNNNNNNNNNNNNNNNNNNNNNNNNNNNNNNNNNNNNNNNNNNNNNNNNNNNNNNNNNNNNNNNNNNNNNNNNNNNNNNNNNNNNNNNNNNNNNNNNNNNNNNNNNNNNNNNNNNNNNNNNNNNNNNNNNNNNNNNNNNNNNNNNNNNNNNNNNNNNNNNNNNNNNNNNNNNNNNNNNNNNNNNNNNNNNNNNNNNNNNNNNNNNNNNNNNNNNNNNNNNNNNNNNNNNNNNNNNNNNNNNNNNNNNNNNNNNNNNNNNNNNNNNNNNNNNNNNNNNGGAUGCGGGAGUGACGACCUUGUAUGGUGGGUUGCACGGUUGGCUCUCUGGUAAGCAACGUGGAGAUGGUGUUGCUUACUCCCCUUGGUCGUGUGGAUGGCAAGCAACGUGGAGACAGUGUUGCUUACUCCCCUUGGUCGUGUGGAUGGCAGGAGGAGUGUCGGCAGGUGGUCCCGCGCAUGGUGUUGCUGCCGGUGGCAGUGACUAAGCCCAAAUCUCGAUCUGUAGGCCUAGAUUCGUUCAUGAUGCCCCUCCCCUUGGUAGGAUCGAUGGCUUAGGUUCCUAGACGUGACACAAACAGAUACAGAGUGGACGCUUUGCACUCCACCGACAAUGAUGACGCCUAUGGGCAUCAUGCUCCUCUUGGGGCGCAGUUGUGGUAUUUUCCCCUAUGCAAGGGCUCUGGGUGUAAACCCUGCUUGCCCGCUCUAUUGGACUCGAUGGGGCGCAUUGCAUUGUGACCUACUACUUGGGAUGUCGCUGGGGAGAUCGUGUUUUCCUCCUCCUCACACCACGACGGCAUCUACACGUGGACUUGGAUCAUAACUCAAAAAAAUCUUUGGCGUUGGCGUGUGGCAGUCUUGAUGCCUCCUAUCCAUUAAACGUGCCCGCAUAGUCGCGCUAUCAAGCCUCGGGGUGCGUUUGGAUCGAAACGAAAACGCACCAUACCAAUAUUUUUUUGGCUCGCCCAUAAGAUUUGGCGGUCGUUUGGACUGUUGUCAGAAAAUUAGCGCGCCAACCACAUCUGGCGUUCGUCUGUGUAGAUCUGACCAAUGCGUUGGCGAGCGGAGGGCGCGGAAAAGGUCCGAUUGGCGGCGUGAGUUGCCCCUAUGUCUCGGUGAGUCCCAGGUAAGUUUCCACUUUUUUAGUACUCCCUCCGUUCCUAAAUAUUUGUCUUUUUAGACAUUUCAAAUGGAAUACAACAUACGAAUGUAUGUAGACAUAUUUUAGAGUGUAGAUUCAUUCAUUUUGCUUCGUAUGUAGUCACUUGUUGAAAUCUUUAGAAAGACAAAUAUUUAGAAACGGAGGGAGUACUAAUAUGAUGCAUGCAGGGAAGGUUGCAGAUUCUUUUGACAAUAGUUAAUUGAUGAGCCCUCACAUAACACUACUAGUUUACCAAAUUAAAAUUCGGCCAUGCCCUUGCAUUGGUCAUACCAAAUUUUUGAUGUGGCAAGUUGGGGCUUAAACCCUCAGUAUUCGAGGGCAGGGUCGACGCUCCUCGCUUCGGAGAUUCAGGUGCCGGUUCGUGUGGUGCAGCUACUCCUGUGCUCAUGCUUGACGGCGAGAUGGCCACAUCCGCUAGUGCAUGUCUAUGCAUUGUAUGAAGCAUUCUUAAUAUCUUGUCUCAUUUAGCCGUGCGGCUUUUUUUUUUUGGAGCAAAAGGGCACGCAGCCCCGGUUCCAUUGAUAAACAACGAAACCACAGUCACUUCGAAUACAGCCCUCGGAGCACAGCUCAUUACGCUGCCUCAGCAGAAUACUCAUCCUACCUUAACAGAACAUACCAAGUCUAAAUUGAGACAAAAAUGGAAGAAAACAUGGGUUUGCUUUUUUAGUGCUUUCCUCUACCGCCAGGGGAGAGAGCAGCAACAUCAUCUUUUUUCAGUUCAUGCCCCAUGCGCAUCUUGAAAGGAUCAAUUUAGACUUUCAGGCUAUCUCUAUCCGUAAACAGAACUUCAGAACUGAUACGUUCUCAUGGAUGUCAGCUUACACGACAAUCUCUCUUCUGCUCAAGUUCAGCCACCGCUAAUAAUGCCUUCAAUAGUGCUACAGUUUCCUUGCCUAAUUCUACCAAUGCCUUGAUUGAUCCUUCUUCAAUCACACUAGUCUUUUCCAGCGUGUGUUUUUCUUCUCCACCUGCAUUUGGUCCAUCAGGCCGGGUUGCCUCUGCUUGUUCAUAUGGAGGAGACACCCCUUGGAGCAGCUCGUACUCGACAUAACCCUCGCCCGUUUCCGAACUCGGCAACCAUCUCGCUAACCACAUGAAAAUAAAUGAAAUCAUCGAAGUAUCAAGCCACUGAACAAUCACCACAAGAACGCAUAAUACUAGUGUUGGCUUCCCGUCAGUAUUUUUUUUUUUGACUGACUGAAUAUUCCCGUCAGAAUUUACUAGAUACAACACUAAGUAUUGCUACCAAUUCCAAAAAACAUGAGUUCUGAAGCAUCCAGUAAUAUUUCUCAAACUUUGACCACCACAACUUUUAAGUUGUGUAAAUGUGUUAGAUAGAAGUUGUACCAUUUAAUCAUUGUAAUUUUUUAAACUACAUACAUUUAUAUGCAAACAUGAAUUUCAGAAGUUCAUCAUUGAAUAUUUUGCAAAAUAUAUAAAUCAACCAUUUUAAAACAGAAAAGAUACUGCUUAAUUAGAUGACAGUUUGAUUUUCUAUCAGUCCGCAGUACGGAUUUACAAGACCCACCAAUGGCAAUAGUCAAGCUCAAGUAUUACCAAUGAGUAGUUAAUCAGAGGUAUACAAUCAUGGAACAAGAUUGAACUAAUACCUCGUUUUUGCCAUCCAGCUUUAAUCAACAAAACAAUUUGCAAGAUACUAGUCGCAUUAUAUAAAAAAAUAAAAGAGCAGGAGUAAACAAUGCUAACGAUAAGUUUGGCAUGACUUUGGGUUUUGCACUAUGUCCAUUUCAGAAUAUUAAGAAAUUGGCAAUUUGACAAACCUUGCCAGCUGCAUUUCCACUGACAAUACUUGGGUUAGAUGUCUGUGAAAUGGUCACCUCACUGCCUGAACCAACAAACAGUUUGUUAGUAAGGAUUCAAGCACAGUAAUAAAGACCAAUUAAUAAAAAAGGGAUAAAUUAGGUAAGCAACGCCGCAUUUUGAUCUGAUUUGUAAGAUCACAUACCAUAAGGCCGGCAGCUACAGCAGGAGAUUCAAGAUCUGAUUCAAUCAUAAAGCGUGCAUACUCCUUGAUCUGGCCGCUGAGUCUAUAAUCGUCAGGAGUGACUCCUUCUGCGGAAUUACGCAACUUCUCCAUCUCGAGACACUUGAUAUCAUUAUUUUGCAAAGAUGUAAAUAAAAGUUGAUCAGCAAAGGAAUCAACCAAUAACCGGAUUAUUUUACAAAGUCUAGCUUAUUUUGGUACAUGCAGGAGGAAACUUACCCUACUGGCAGAAGCGUGCAGGCUGAGAAUAGCAGGAGAAUUACGUUGGAAAAACUCACUGAGGUAAUCCCAGUAAUUUUCGGAGAGAACAUAACCGGAUUCCCAUACCAACAGCCUGUCCCAACUCCAUGCGGUUUCCAUAAUCUCUACUAUCUAAAAGAAACCUAACGUUCCGUCUCCCCUCUUACGUUUCGUCGAGCCCUCCCCGCAUGGCCGCACUCGCGAUUGGUUUUUUCACAUCCUUCCCCACGUAGGUUUUGCAUUGAAGACUUUCCUAAAACAACCACCUUGAUUGAUUCCCCUGACCUUAGGGGGUGUUUGGUUUAGAAGUCCUAGGACUUUUUCUAGUGCCAGGGACUAAUCAAAAAAGACUCUCUAGUAGAGUCUUUUUCUAGUCCCUGUAAAAAAAGUCUCUCCCGUUUGGUUUCUAGGGACUUUUUAGGGACUUUUUCUAGUCUGUGGGACUAAAAAGUCCCUGAACAAAACACCCCCUUAGUCCCACCUCUGAUUUGGCCGCCGCCAGACUCUCGCCCAUCUCGCGAACGGCUGGAGGAUGUACGCUCCCCGUCCAUGACCUCUCGCCAGAGACGCCCUAACGUCACCGUAGCGCAUGACACAGGGAUUCGCCGCUGCAGCCCGCAGCUACUUUGCCCCUGGUGUCGACGAGGGGGUCGGCGAGAGCUCAUCUCCUCCCGGGGCUGCCGCCGCCGGGGUCGUCUCGUCAGGAGGACACGAUGUCGAUGCCGUCGCCGGCGACGCCUCGUUGUUCUCCCUCUCCCCUCACGCUUCAUGCUUCCUGGAUUAUUGAGGUUAUAAUCGUGAGGGACUCCUGAUUUUUGAACAUAUGUGUUUCUUGUUGUGUUGCAGGCUCUGCAGCCUGCAGGUCGUUCAACUCGGGUGUGCUGCAGCCUGCGAGAUCCGAGGCGUGACGACAUUGGUGAUUCUGUUCACCGUGGCCCAAGUUUAAGCCAGAUCUGCGACUGAGGCAUGGCGCAAGAAACCUACGCCGCAGGAAGGCUACGGAGGUGCGUUGCCCCCGGAGACGUCUUGGCACCAUCUCCGAUGAGCCCCCUUCUGAUGGAGCCUAUGCCGUUCUAUAUCUGGUGUUGGCUCUCGCUUCAAUCAGAUCCGCGGGAGGCUACUGCUGCCGCUGUCAGUGGCGCAGCGGAUUUGCGGAUGGCCUACCUAGCCACCAUGCGCAUGGUCCAACCUCUCCUCCGAUGUAUGCCUCCGUACUAUCACGCCCACUACGGCAAGCAUGAUGUGUGCACGUCUUGGUUGUUGCGGCCGUCCGGCAUUCGUCCCUUCCCAGCUAUCGGCGUGGCGCAUUGGCAUAAGAGCGAUAAUAUUCAUGUCUGCUAAAACUGGGUCGUUGAAUUUCGUCAAUUAACUUGGGAAUAAGGCAAUACGGGCGUCAAGAAUGGACUUUAAAAGUAAUGGAGGCAGUACCAGUGUUUUCCUACGCCUGGCAGAUUUUGCUCCAAAGAAGAAAGGAGAAGUUCACCAAAGUUGACCUUCAGUACUAAAAGUACUAAUAAUAUUACCUGCAAGUGCAAGCAAGGAGAACCACGGGUGCUUUGGCAAAAGGAAAGCAACACGAUGCCAAAAGCUUGUAGAAUUACCAUUGCAUCACCCAUCUUCUGAAACAUACAUGUUCUCUGUAUCUUGCACUCCAUUCUGUUCCUGGGAAUUUCUUUUGUUUAAAGCAAGAAGAUGGAGUUAUCAGAUAUCUUUGCCUAUAAAUAUUCUUUUGUCUGCAAGUGUUCUGUGCUCCUCGACUUGAUUCCCCUGGCGCUUAUAGAGGUACUGCAGUUGCAUAUUCCGAUAUGNNNNNNNNNNNNNNNNNNNNNNNNNNNNNNNNNNNNNNNNNNNNNNNNNNNNNNNNNNNNNNNNNNNNNNNNNNNNNNNNNNNNNNNNNNNNNNNNNNNNNNNNNNNNNNNNNNNNNNNNNNNNNNNNNNNNNNNNNNNNNNNNNNNNNNNNNNNNNNNNNNNNNNNNNNNNNNNNNNNNNNNNNNNNNNNNNNNNNNNNNNNNNNNNNNNNNNNNNNNNNNNNNNNNNNNNNNNNNNNNNNNNNNNNNNNNNNNNNNNNNNNNNNNNNNNNNNNNNNNNNNNNNNNNNNNNNNNNNNNNNNNNNNNNNNNNNNNNNNNUAACCCUUACCCUGAUCAUAAACGUAACCUGGUCCACACCUUCCAAAUCGGGAGAUCCUGGCCUGUCGGAAAGCGAGCGUUGGCACGCGCGCACGCGCAAUAUUGGUUUGUGAAAAUCUUAGGUGAAAUUUUAUAUAUAAUGAGCAAAAAAAUCUAUGAUCUCAAACAUUCCAUUGGUACAACCCAUACAAAAUUGAUUUCUUCUGUCAAUAUGAAGCGCUAAUCUUCUCCUCUAUAUAGGCUUGAAGGAUAAAAUUAUGGCAAGUCUGGUUGGUGGAGGAGGAAAAUAAGAAUGAUUUAAUAGUAAGAAAAGGAAGAUAAUGUUGCUUGAGAUGUGCAUGGGGAUUGUGAAUAUAUAUGUUUGAUACUUUCUCCUCUUGACAGAGAUUGGUCGAGGUUUGUUUAGUCCUCAUAAUAUGUGAGGUUCCAUUAUUGUAUAUUUCACCCUAAGCCCCCGUUGCAAUGCACGGGCAAUUACCUAGUAAGCUCUUAAAAUACGGAAGAAAGAUUAGUCAGCUCAGAUCAAUUUUUUUUUUGGCAAGGGGGGCUCAAAUCAAAUUUGAUAAUAAUAGUAAUCAUAAGAAUGAGGAAGGAAACCGGAAAUGACGGCACGAGGAAUCAAACCUAUGACGUCCCUAUACUCAACAAGGGCUUCUAACCACCAGAGUGAAUGGUUGCAUCUGAACGAUCCCGCAUCGCGAUUGUAUUUAAGAACUCUCUAUUGCGGGAUAUACCCCUUGCAUGUUAUUUUCUGUACGUGUACUGCAGCACAUAGAUUUGAAUAUGUGAUUUUUUUUGGAAAAGCUGGAACAUGAUUUGAAAUAUCUGAACAUUUUCUGAAGUUGUGAACAAAAAUUGAAAACACAAAAUAUUUAUCGAAAUUACGAACAAUUUUUUCAAAACACAAACAUUUUUUGGAAUUACAAACAAUUUGUUCAAAACACAUUUUCUUCAAAAGUUCAAAAAAAUAAAUAUUUUAGGAAUAUGUGAACAAAAUUGGACAAGCUGGAACAUUUUUUGAAAUUAGAGAACAAUUUUCGAAUUUAUGAUUUUUUUUAGAAAUGAGAACAUUUAUUCAAAUUCCUCGAACAUAUUUGACUUUGUGAACUAAGUUUCAAAAACACUAAUUUUUCAAAAUUUUGAACAUAUUUUGAAAGUGAGAACUUUCUUGGAAUUCCCUAUGAUUUUUUGAAUUUGUGAAUAAACAGAUAAAAUGCAUAUUUUUUUUGAAAUUCUGAACAUUUUCUGGAAAGUUGUGAAAAGUUCUGAAAAGAUACCAUAAGCCGCUGAAGAUUAGAUCUUUUUCUAAAAUUUUGAAACUGAUUUUUUUAAACGCGAACAUUAUUUGGGAAACUCAUUAUUUUUAUGGAAAAAAGGAAGAAAAUUGAAUAGGAGGAGAACAUUUUUCGAAAUUCUGAAUAAUUUUCUGAAAACGCAAACAUUUCUUGAGGAACAAUAUUUUUUCAAAAAAACAUGAACAUUUUUUAAAAUUACGAACGAUUUUACAAAAAUCCAAAACUCCUUUGAAAUUCCUGCGCACAUUUUUUGAAUUUGCGAAUUUUUCAACGUGACAUUUUUUUAAAGUUGAGAACAAAUUUCCCAAAUGGUAUUAUUUGCUGAAGUUGUGAACAAAUUUGGAUAAUAGGAACAUUAUUUAAUUGUCAAAAAAAUUGAAUUUGUGAACAAAAUAUAAAUAUACAAAUAUUUUUGAAUUUGUCAAAAAAAUUGAAUCAUGAACAUUCUUUAAUAUGCUAACAGAAUUUAAAAACAGGAACAAUUUUAUUGAAGUUCUUGAAUAUUUUUUAUUUUGUGAAUAAAAUUUAAAAUGCGAACCUUUUUGAAAUUCUAUUUUUUUUAUGAAUUUUAGGAAACAAUUCAAAUAGCGAACAAAAUUUGAAAUUUUAAACUUUUUAUAAUUCCGAACAUUUUUUCUAAUGAAGCGGACAAAACUUGAAAAUCUUGUUUUUUGGAAUUUCGGAAGAAAAUAUUUCUUGGAAUUUAAAAUAAUUAUGAAGUAGAAAAAAGAAAAAGUGUAAGAAAAUAAAAAUAAAAAGAAAAAACGACAAAGAAGACAAGUAGAAAAAUGAAAAAUGAAAAAGAAACUGCAAAAGAGGAAACCGGUUUCAGGAACCUACUAGAAGGUUCCCAAAACCGAAAAAAACCAGCUGGAAACAUCAUGGAAGGUUCCUAUCCUGAAGCGCUAAAUGGGCGGGCCCACCCCCGAAGGAUCCCUUGAGCGAAACAGUUACAACUUGUCGCAAAGAGCGGCAAAUAGGGUAUUCCGAAGAAGAGGGUGGUCCCCUGUAUUUGUUUGAAAAGAAACGUCGCCCAUAGCGCCACAAUUGGGUCGGCCCAGUAACCUGCGUUGUAGCUAGCCCAGAGCGGCCGCUCAUACUAAAUUCUCCUAUGCCCUAAAAAAACUAAAUUUUCCUAUAAAAGCAGAGCUUCAUCUCAAAAAAUAAAGUAAAAAGCAGAGCUCAAAUACCUUUUUCCCAAAGAAAUACUGCCCCUUUCACUAUUAUAAGAGUUUUGGCUACUUUAACAUAAAUUAUAUACAGACUAAAAUAAAUGAACAAACACACCAAUACGUGUCUACGUACAUCUUUUUUUUAAUAUUUUAUAAUAAUGAAUGGAGAGGGUAGCUCCUAAGUAUCGAGCUAGGCUCGAGUACAACUAUAGAGCACCGUUCCCUCCCUAAUAAAACCUGCACCUGCAUCGGAGUAAUCUUACUCCUAUAAUCUCAAAGAAAAAACCUGGUGAAUUUUUGUGCCAAAAGAGAUUGAAAGAAGCACCUGCUAAUUUUGCGCAUUAACCAAUAAAUCAAGCCAAGCACGCAAAUUUAACCUCGUUUGAAUCAUCUGGCUUAUUUGUAUACGUAUGUAUUUGUAUUCAUGUUCAUCUUUUACGUUCUUCUUACAUCUUAACAUACACUUAAACAUAAUAUAAUGCAAAUUCUAAUUGUAGACUGCACACUACUUACCGUGCAUGCUUAUCUCGUGCAUCCAAUCGAGAUCCUGCAGUCAUGAGUGUCUGUGAGCAUCUACAAUUGUACUUUGUUCAAAAGUAAUAAUAAUCUUGCAGUCAGAGGCUGAGCUAGCAUGUAGGUGUGGGUUCAGAUAUGAACCCAACAAAUUUUUCAUGCCACAUACAUACAUGUAUACACGUGGUCACAUGUUUUUUUGUAGAAUCACAUGUUGUCACAUGUAUGAAUCUGAAAUUACUAAUUAAGAAGUACCUUUUACAAAGAUCACUCCCACUUCUUCAGGUUGCCCAAGGGGCGCACUGCAUAUGCGCCACUUGUCGUAACCUGUUGUUGUUCAGUAGCAUCUUGUAUCCUUCUACCGCCUUCUUCUUCUUCUUCUUCUUCUUAUUCUUCUUCUUCUUCUUCUUUCGUGUUGUCUCGGUGGUUGUAUACUCGGCUGUUGCUUUAUCUAUAUCAAUAUAAAAAGAUUCAAAGGGGCAGAUCCAACUGAUUUCGGCCAUCAAACUAAGUCAAUCCAACGACCUAGACUGCUGCAAUGACGAGCAUUCAACGCGUUUAACAUGCAAUCAAUAUCAUACCAAAUAUUGCACUAAUCACAGAAUUAACACACAAAUAAUAGCAUACCUAAUAUCUGCGUGCAAUUGAUAUAUUGCCUAAAUAUUAACGUGCAUUGCACGUGCGCAUUUACUAGUAAUAUAAAGCGACGGAAUCUUUUAUCGUCAUUUAUUUAAAAUGUUUUACCUCUUAAACUGUGUGUCCAAAUCUUAAACCACUUUCGCCGUUGGAUUUCUCGCGUCGAGAUCUUCAAAAUUAGAUGCAAUGUUCAUAUGUUUCAACAAAUUCUUUUUUCAUUAAAAGGCGUACAAAAAAACUGGGAGCACAUUUUUUUCCCUUUCCAAAGAGGCACAAUCAUGACUCUCACAGAAGCAAAUUUGUGCCUCCAUGAGAAGCAAAUCAGUGCCUCUCGUGAAAGAAAAAACAUGUUUUUUUUUCUGAGAGGCACAUUUGUGCCUCUCGCGGAAGAAAAAUAUAAUUUUCUUUUCUUUUUCGAGAGGCAUGACUGUGCCUCCUGCAGAAGCAAAUCCGUGCCUGCACGAGAAGUAAAUAUGUGCCUCUCGCGAAAGGAAUUUUUUUCUUUUCUGAUAGGCACGACUGUACCUCUGAACAAAAUCUGAAAAUAGGAACAUUUUAUAAAAUUCCUGAACAUUUUUCGAAAACAUGAACAUAAGAAAAUAUUUGAAAAUGAGAACAUUUUUUUGAAUUGACUGAACAUUUUUCAAAAUUGUGAACAAAAUUUAAAACAAGAACAUUUUUUGAGAUUCUUGAAAGACUUUUUGAAUUACGGAUAUUUUUUCAAAUUGUGAACAAAAUUUAAAAACAGGAACAUUUUUUGAAAUUGAGAAUUUUUUUGAAAACAAGAACAUGUUAUAAAAUUCCGAAUAGAUAUUGGAUAUUCUCAAAAAAAAGAAAAUUACAAAAAAUGAAAGAGCGAAAAGAGACAAGAAAACAGAAAAAUAAAAUAAAAUUUUUAAACGAAAAAGAAAAAGAAAUCGAUAAAGAAAAGAAAUAAAAAGGGACAAAAAAGAAAAUAGAAAAAAUGGUUCAGGAACCUCCUAGAAGGUUCCCAAAACCAGAAAAAACCCGGCUGGGAACACCCUAGAAGAUUCGCAAAACCAGACUCGCACAAACAUUUGGAACGGCCCGGCCAACGAGAACGCUGGUCCAUCUCCCCCUGCGCGUCCGGUCGACUACUUGCAGCAACGAGCGGCAAAUAGGAAUUUCCAAGGGAGGCAGCACCAAUUUUACACUCUGUGGGUUAAAUAGCGCGUUGACGCAGAGCACUGAGGCUGGCCCGAUAUGAGGUAUGAGAUUGGAUGCUCCUCCAACGAGUUUUGUUUUUUUCUUUUGUUUUUCCAACCCUUUAAAAAUGACAGCAGGAUAUUUUAUAGAUGAAAAUAUGAUAAUAUAAAAAAUGUUCAUGAACUUCAAAUAUUCUCAAAUUUGAAAAAGUUCAUGUUCUAAAAAAAUUAAAAAUUGUUCUUGAACUAAAAUAUUAUUGUAAAAAGUAAAAAUGUUCUUGAAUAAAAAAUUCUCAAAUUUGAAAAGGUGUUCUCGAAUAGGAAAAAAUGUUCCCAAUUUUUAAAUGUUCUCAAAUACAAAAAAUGUGCUGAAAAAUUAAAAAAAUGCUCUCCAAUACAAAUAAAGUUCUUGAAUUUAAGAAAUAUUUUUGAGAUUUGAAAAAUGUUCUCAAAUUCAAAAACCAUGUAUUUUUAAAAGAAAACGCAAAUGAAAUAGGUGGACACUUUUAGAAAAGAGAGCAUCUUGAAAUUUUGGGAACAUUUUCAACGAAAAAACAAAAAAGAAAAAGGAGAAAAAAACAAAAAAACAUUGUAACAAAAAAAGAAUAAAAACCAAUAAAAGUAAAAUAAACCUUACAAGAGCGUUCUAAAAGGUUCCUAAAACUAGCAAACAUCAAUAUGGAACCUUCUCAAAACUGGUAACCCCAUGUGUGUGUACGCUAGUUAGUUGGAUCGCAGUUGUGUGCUUUGCUACCUUCGAUGGUCUGUGUGUUUCCUCGACACUUAGAUGCGGUGUGCGUCAAAUAUAAAACACCCCCGGAGAGAUACCUUGUGUUUGUAUGGUAGCAUCAUUCAAACAUAGAUACACUACUGCAGCAUAAUACAUUUUCAGGGUAUCUAUAAUUUUUGAUUGUUUCAUGUUGUUAUAUUAUUAUUCUUGGAUGUUUUACAUUCAUUUUAUAGUAACUUUAUAUCUUUUUUAGGACUAACCUAUUGAUAUAGUGCCCGGUGCUAGUUGCUGCUUUUUGCUUGUUUUUUACUUCGCAGAAUAUCAGUACCAAACAAAGUCCAAAUGCCACGAAACUUCUUAAAGAUUUUUUUGGACCAGAAGACAUCUUGGAAGCCAAGGAAGCACCAGAGGAGGGGCCCAUGGGGCCCACCACCUACUUGGGUGUGCCAGAGGCCCUUGGUGCGCCCUGAUGGGUGGUGGGGCCCAUGGAGGUCUUCUCCACCGCCUCUCAGCUCUAGAGAUACUCAGAUAUUCCAAAAACCCUAGGGGAGCGUUCGAAACACAAUUUCAGCCUCCGCAAGUUCCAGAACCACGAGAUCCAAUCUAGAGCCCUAUUCCGGCACUCUGUCGAAGGGGAACACGAUCACGGAGGGGUUCAUAAUCCUCAUUGGUGCUCCUCAGAUGAUGCGUGAGUAGUUCACCAUAGACUUACGGGUCCGUAGGCAGUAGCUAGAUGGCUUCUUCUCUCUUUUUGAUUCUCAAUACAAUGUUUUCCUCGAUGUUCUUGGAGUUCUAUUUGAUGUAAUAACUUUUUAUGGUGUGUUUGUUGGGAUCCGGUGAAGUGCGAGUUUAUGAUCACAUCCAUCCAUAAAUAUUAUUUGAGUGUUCUUUGAUCUCUUAUAUACAUGAUUGAUAUAGCCUCGUAUUUCUUCUCCGAAACUUUAGUUUGGUUUGGCCAACUAGAUUGAUUUUUCUUGCAAUGGAAAGAGGUGCUUUGUGAUGGGUUCGAUCUUGCGGUGUCCUCACCCAGUGACAGAAGGUGUAGCGAGGCACACAUGUAUCGUUGCUAUUAAGGAUAAAAAGAUGGGGUCUAUUUGUGACGCCCCAGAUUCAAUCGUACACUAAUCAUACACGCAAAUAUGCAUGAUCAAGAUCAGGGACUCACGAGAAGAUACCACAACACAACUCUAGACACAAAUUAAAGUCAUACAAGCUUUAUAUUACAAGCCAGGGGCCUCGAUGGAUCGAAUACAUAAGCUCGAAUGCAAACGAGUCAGCGGAAGCAACAAUAUCUGAGUACAGACAUGAGUUAAACAAGUUUGCCUUAAGAAGGCUAGCACAAAAGUAACGACGACCAAAAAGGCAAGGCCUCCUGCUUGGGAGCCUCCUAACUACUCCUGGUCGUCAGCGGUCUCCACGUAGUAGUAGGCACCCUCGGGGUAGUAGUAGUCGGCGGUGGUGGC